rnacentral:misc_RNA from 1 species
AAUUUCAAUUUAUUCAAUUUUUUAAACUUUCAAAUCAAAUUUACCAAUGCCCAACCCUACAAAAAACGAUCAUUUUACCUGUGUGAUAGUUCAAAUACUACUUGCAGAUUUUAAAAACGGAACAACCUUUCCAUCAGUAAAUACAUAAUUCCAUUCUACUUUCUUUUCACGCCAUUAACCUUUUCAACAUUAAAAAAGGCCAGAAAACUCAAUUGUAGACAAGAAUCAAUAAAUCAAGGUAAAUGUCAAAACUUUCGAAAUCCCAUUAAAAAAACUAAUAGUUCUGAUGAUGAAUAAAAAAAUUUCUCUUGCUUCACUCACCCCAGCCAGUAGAAGCAGCUCCUGGAAAUUGCCUUGGUGGAGCUGCAGCAUCCCAUUCUGCACCCAAAGUGAACCCAAAAAGAAGUGGAUCAGUAGAACAAACAACAAAAUGGUGUUUUACAGAAAGCAGCAUCUAGCAACUGUGCAACACAUGUAUCUUUGAAAUGGUAGUGUACUAUGAGCGUAGUUAUUAACGGCUCAAGGCGCA